rnacentral:rRNA from 1 species
CCUACGGGGGGCAGCAGUGGGGAAUAUUGCACAAUGGGGGAAACCCUGAUGCAGCGACGCCGCGUGAGUGAAGAAGUAUUUCGGGAUGUAAAGCUCUAUCAGCAGGGAAGAAAAGGACGGUACCUGAGUAAGAAGCCCCGGCUAACUACGUGCCAGCAGCCGCGGUAAUACGUAGGGGGCAAGCGUUAUCCGGAUUUACUGGGUGUAAAGGGAGCGUAGACGGCAGCACAAGUCUGGAGUGAAAUGCCGGGGCUUAACCCCGGAACUGCUUUUGAAACUGUGCAGCUAGAGUGCAGGAGAGGUAAGUGGCAUUCCUCGUGUAGCGGUGAAAUGCGUAGAUAUUAGGAGGAACACCAGUGGCGAAGGCGGCUUACUGGACUGUACCUGACGUUGCGGCUCGAACGCGUGGGGAGCAAACAGGAUUAGAUACCCGGGUAGUC